rnacentral:rRNA from 1 species
UGGGGAAUAUUGCACAAUGGGCGCAAGCCUGAUGCAGCCAUGCCGCGUGUAUGAAGAAGGCCUUCGGGUUGUAAAGUACUUUCAGAGGGGAGGAAGGCGAUGUGGUUAAUAACCGCGUCGAUUGACGUUACCCGCAGAAGAAGCACCGGCUAACUCCGUGCCAGCAGCCGCGGUAAUACGGAGGGUGCAAGCGUUAAUCGGAAUUACUGGGCGUAAAGCGCACGCAGGCUGUCUGUCAAGUCGGAUGUGAAAUCCCCGGGCUCAACCUGGGAACUGCAUCCGAAACUGGCAGGCUGGAGUCUCGUAGAGGGGGGUAGAAUUCCAGGUGUAGCGGUGAAAUGCGUAGAGAUCUGGAGGAAUACCGGUGGCGAAGGCGGCCCCCUGGACGAAGACUGA